rnacentral:rRNA from 1 species
GGCGGCGUGCUUAACACAUGCAAGUCGAGCGGAAAGGCCCUUCGGGGUACUCGAGCGGCGAACGGGUGAGUAACACGUGAGUAACCUGCCCCUGACUCUGGGAUAAGCCUGGGAAACUGGGUCUAAUACCGGAUAUGACACCGUUCCCGAUGGGAUGCGUGUGGAAAGUUUUUUCGGUCAGGGAUGGGCUCGCGGCCUAUCAGCUUGUUGGUGGGGUAGUGGCCUACCAAGGCGACGACGGGUAGCCGGCCUGAGAGGGCGACCGGCCACACUGGGACUGAGACACGGCCCAGACUCCUACGGGAGGCAGCAGUGGGGAAUAUUGCGCAAUGGGCGGAAGCCUGACGCAGCGACGCCGCGUGGGGGAUGACGGCCUUCGGGUUGUAAACCUCUUUCAGCAGGGACGAAGUUGACGUGUACCUGUAGAAGAAGCGCCGGCUAACUACGUGCCAGCAGCCGCGGUAAUACGUAGGGCGCAAGCGUUGUCCGGAAUUAUUGGGCGUAAAGAGCUCGUAGGUGGCUUGUCGCGUCUGCCGUGAAAGCCCGUGGCUUAACUGCGGGUCUGCGGUGGAUACGGGCAGGCUAGAGGUUGGUAGGGGCAAGCGGAAUUCCUGGUGUAGCGGUGAAAUGCGCAGAUAUCAGGAGGAACACCGGUGGCGAAGGCGGCUUGCUGGGCCAGUUCUGACGCUGAGGAGCGAAAGCGUGGGGAGCGAACAGGAUUAGAUACCCUGGUAGUCCACGCUGUAAACGUUGGGCGCUAGGUGUGGGGGACCUUCCACGUUUCCCGUGCCGCAGCUAACGCAUUAAGCGCCCCGCCUGGGGAGUACGGCCGC